rnacentral:tRNA from 2 species
GGGGGAUUAGCUCAGUUGGGAGAGCGCUACAAUGGCAUUGUAGAGGUCAUCGGUUCAAGUCCGUUAUCCUCCACCU